GAGCUGUUACAGAGGGAGUUGCACUCUCUCUCGCUCUCUCGCUCUCUCACUCACUCACACUCUAUUUCACUCACUCUCUCACGCACUGUCUCUCUCGCUCUUGCUCUCUAGCUCUAUCGCUCUCUCACCGUGUUCAUCUCUUGGGAGAAGCUACCAGCUAGUUCCUGGAUUGUACUUCCCACCUGGAGAGAAGCAUCGAGCAGCGCACGGAUCUGUCACUAUGAGGUCGCAGUUGUAAAUGAGAACUUGUUGUCAACAUGCCUACCUGGCUAAAUAAAGACGUUUUGUUGUUGCUGUGUGCUGUUGUUUGCUCUGAGA
rnacentral:lncRNA from 1 species